UGAAUACGAGAUGCUACGGCGUCGAAGCAGUGUAUGUCAGACUUCCAAGAAAAGCUCGCAAUGUCAUAAAUAAAGAAUGCCUGUACCAUAACCGACACAGGUGGGUAGGUAGAGUAUACUAAGGGGCGCGAGAUAACUCUCUCUAAGGAACUCGGCAAAAUAACUCCGUAACUUCGGGAGAAGGAGUGCCUUCUUUAAGAAGGUUGCAAUAACAGGAUCCAAGCAACUGUUUAUCAAAAACACAGGUCUCCGCUAAGUCGUAAGACGAUGUAUGGGGGCUGACGCCUGCCCAGUGCCAGAAGGUUAAAGAAGCUGGUUAGCAAUAGCGAAGCUGGUGACUGAAGCCCUGGUGAACGGCGGCCGUAACAAUAACGGUCCUAAGGUAGCGAAAUUCCUUGUCGGGUAAGUUCCGACCCGCACGAAAGGCGUAAUGAUUUGGAUACUGUCUCGGAGAGGGACUCGGUGAAAUAGACUUGUCUGUGAAGAUGCGGACUACCUGCACCAGGACAGAAAGACCCUAUGAAGCUUUACUGUAACCUGAAAUUGAAAUUGGACUUUAUUUGCGCAGUAUAGGUGGGAGGCGUUGAAAGUAAUCUUGCGGGAUUAGUGGAGCCAUCAGUGAGAUACCACUCCUAUAAUGUUAGAUUUCUAACUUUGGAUCAUGAUCUGGUCAAAGAACAGUUUCAGGCGGGCAGUUUGACUGGGGCGGUCGCCUCCCAAAUGGUAACGGAGGCGUACAAAGGUUUCCUCUGAACGGGUAGAAAUCGUAUCUAGAGUGUAAAGGCAUAAGGAAGCUUGACUGUGAGACCUACAAGUCGAGCAGGGACGAAAGUCGGUCUUAGUGAUCUGACGGUGCUGAGUGGAAAGGCCGUCGCUCAACGGAUAAAAGUUACUCUAAGGAUAACAGGCUGAUCUCCCCCGAGAGUUCACAUCGACGGGGAGGUUUGGCACCUCGAUGUCGGCUCAUCGCAUCCUGGGGCGGUAGUACGUCCCAAGGGUUGGGCUGUUCGCCCAAGAAAGCGGUACGCGAGCUGGGUUCAGAACGUCGUGAGACAGUUCGGUCCAUAUCCGGUGUAGGCGUUAGAAUAUUGAGAGGAGCCUUCUCUAGUACGAGAGGACCGAGAAGGACAUACCUCUGGUGUACCAGUUAUCGUGCCAACGGUAAACGCUGGGUAGCUAUGUAUGGAGAGGAUAACCGCUGAAAGCAUCUAAGUGGGAAGCCCACCUCAAGAUGAGUAUUCUCAC
rnacentral:rRNA from 1 species